CACACAUUCUUUUAGACAGAUUAUACCCCCCAGCCCCCUCCUAUAUUUUUGAGGGAUGAGGGGAGGGAGGAGAUUCUUUUUACCACUAUUCUUUUUUUCAUUUUUUGUUUUCUUAUCAAAGGUGCUAAUUUACAACUUCCAAGCCCACCUCAACUCACCAGACCAUGAGCUUGAGCAUGAGCAUGAACAUGACAAUAGUAUCACAAUCUCCAAGAAGUGUGCAAUUCAAUGCCUGCUUCUUAGGAUCCAGCACUACUCAGAGGAUACACGUACACCCACAUCCAUAUCCCAUAUGUGAGUGUAGGGGUGAGGGUGGUACAUCAUGGUCAUCAUCGCAGUCAGUGCAAUUUCAUGACAGAAGUACAGAGAGGAGGAGACAUUCUAUGUUUAUCAGUCCAAAACCAAAACCCAUCAUUGAAGAUGGAGUUCUCAGCAUUAAUGGCAAGGAUGUACUGACUGCAGUUCCAGAUAAUGUCAUUCUCACCCCAUGGACUGAUUCAGCAGCAUUUUUGGGUGCCACUGCCACCACCACCAAUAGGCAUAGGCAUAGGCAUAGCUAUUCCCGACACGUUUUCAAGCUCGGUGUCAUUCAGGAUGCCAGAUUGCUAUGUUUGUUUAGAGUUAAGCUUUGGUGGAUGAUACCUCGGGUGGGAAAUUCAGCAAGUGACAUUCCUGUUGAAACCCAGAUGUUGUUGAUGGAAUCAAAGGAAGCACCAACUUCUAAUCAACCUAAAGGAUCUAUCUCUUAUAUUGUUUUCUUGCCAUUCUUAGAUGGUGAAUUCAGAAGCAGUUUGCAGGGAAACUCUGCCAAUGAACUUCAAUUUUGUGUUGAAAGUGGUGACCCUGCUGUUGUUGCAUCAGAGUCUCUAAAAGCAGUUUUUGUGAAUUAUGGAAACAAUCCAUUUGAUCUGAUGACGGAAUCUAUGAAGAUUUUGGAGAAGUACAGUGGGACCUUUACUGUCCGGGAAAGAAAACAGAUGCCUGGAAUGCUCGAUUGGUUUGGUUGGUGCACUUGGGAUGCUUUCUAUACAGACGUAAAUCCACAAGGAAUCAAAGAUGGCCUGAAAAGCUUAUCCGAGGGAGGCACUCCAGCAAAAUUUUUGAUAAUUGAUGAUGGGUGGCAAGAUACAUCUAAUGAGUUCCAGAAAGAAGGGGAGCCUAUAGAAGAAGGGUCACAGUAUGGUGGCCGAUUAGUCAGCAUACAAGAAAACUAUAAGUUCCAGAAAACAACAAAUGAAGCUCCAAGUGAAGCACCUACCAAUCUUAAAGAAUUUGUUUCCGACAUAAAGAGAAAUUUUGGCCUCAAGUAUGUCUAUGUGUGGCAUGCGCUAAUGGGAUACUGGGGUGGACUUCACCCGGAUGCUCCUGGGACCAAAAAGUACAAUCCAAAAUUAAAAUUUCCAGUGCAGUCACCGGGGAAUCUUGCACAUUUAAGAGAUAUAGCAAUGGAUUGUAUGGAGAAGUAUGGUGUUGGUACAAUUGAUCCAGACAAAAUAUUUGAAUUUUAUGAUGAUCUACAUAAAUAUCUUGUCUCACAGGAGGUGGAUGGGGUUAAGGUUGAUGCACAGAACAUAUUGGAAACCAUAGCAACUGGGUUAGGAGGCCGAGUCACUUUAACUAGACAUUUUCAACAGGCACUUGAGAAGUCCAUAGCCACCAAUUUCCAAGACAAUAGCAUAAUCUGCUGCAUGGGACAGAACACAGAUUCCGUUUACAACACAAAAAGAAGUGUCAUUACACGUGCAUCUGAUGACUACUAUCCGAAAAAUCCAACAACACAAACACUGCACAUAGCUGCUGUGGCUUAUAACAGCAUGUUGUUUGGUGAAAUUUUUGUCCCGGAUUGGGACAUGUUUUAUAGCCGCCAUAAUGCAGCUGAGUUUCAUGCAGUUGCCAGAGCAGUUGGAGGAUGUGGAGUCUAUGUUAGUGACAAACCCGGGCAGCAUGAUUUCAAGAUACUGAAAAGGCUUGUACUUCCUAAUGGAUCAUUGCUGAGAGCUAAAUACCAUGGGAGGCCGUCCCGAGAUUGUUUAUUCAACGAUCCAGUAAUGGAUGGAAAGAGUCUUCUGAAGAUUUGGAAUCUUAACAAAUAUACUGGAGUUAUUGGCAUCUUCAAUUGCCAAGGAGCGGGAAGCUGGCCGCGUCUAGACAAUCAUGUUCAGAAGGAUGUUAGUCCUAAUCUAUCUGGACACGUAUCUCCUGCUGAUAUCGAGUUUUUUGAAGAGGUUUGCGGGAAGUCAUGGACAGGAGAUUGUGCAGUAUUCUCUUCCAUCACAGGGUCUCUGUCUCGAUUAUCAGAGCAACAAUCAUUUGCAGUAACACUAAAAAUCUUGCAGUGUGAUGUAUUUACUGUAUCUCCUAUCAAGGUUUACAAUCAAAAGAUUCAUUUUGCGCCUCUUGGAUUGAUAGACAUGUAUAAUUCUGGAGGAGCUAUUGAGGCAAUGGAAUUUUCUGAAGAUUUGUCCGCUUGUAGAAUCAGUAUCAAAGGAAGAGGGGCGGGUCGUUUUGGAGCAUAUUCCAAUCAAAAACCAAAAUUUUGCUACGUGAAUUCAAGAGAAGAGGGGUUCGAUUUCAGAAGCGAAGACAAUCUUUUGACUACAAUAAUUCCACAUGAGGCGAAUUCUUGGAACAUUACCAUUGGUUAUUGAGGCCUUAUUGUUUCAAUGAUGUCAGUGCCAAUGAUAUCUCCCCCCCCAGUCCCCAUGUAACAUGGCAUCUACUGUUCGAGGGAGGGACAAUGCAUCUUUUGUGGUGAAGCAGUGUCCUCUGUUGGCCGAAUAAUACAGUCACUUUUACAAAUUCACAAUAAACUGAAAGCAUGGGAAAGUUUAUUGUAUAUUUUUACAGCUGAUGUAUUCACACACACUUGGGGAAGUGUUGAAGUUCACUGAAUUAUGGCAACAAACGAACAGGUGGUUUGGCCCUUGAAGCCACACAUGGUGUAUUGAUUAGAAGUCAGUCUGCAAUUACACAUUGGAUCAGGUCACAAGUCUUGGCGCACCCGCACAAUCAGAAAUCUCCGUAAGGAGUUGUUGCAGCAGUGACAUCUUGGUGCCAAUAGGUUCUUGGAAUCUUAGUCGUACCCUUCUCGUUUAUGAGUCCUCGACUUCCAUCCCUUACAUUUGGUUCAAUGCUUGGGUUGGGCCAACAAAAUGACAUCAUGAACCAGUCUGGAUGGUAGAACUGGGUUGGUCUCCAACUGGUUCAAGUUGUUCCAGUAUUCUUUCUUUUCUAAGCAAAAUGUUCAUAUGGUGCAAUCUAAAAUCUUAAAUGAACUGGGUGAGUUUGGAUUGGAUUAGGCGGUGUUUGCCAUUCCUAUAUGUUGAGUUUGGUGCCAGCACAAUGGGCCCUAUGAAUGGAGGUAACAGUCUUAA